UACGUAGGGGGCAAGCGUUGUCCGGAAUCAUUGGGCGUAAAGAGCGUGUAGGCGGCCCGGUAAGUCCGCUGUGAAAGUCCAGGGCUCAACCCUGGGAUGCCGGUGGGUACUGUCGGGCUCGAGUCCGGAAGAGGAGUGUGGAAUUCCUGGUGUAGCGGUGAAAUGCGCAGAUAUCAGGAGGAACACCAAUGGCGAAGGCAGCACUCUGGGACGUUACUGACGCUGAGACGCGAAAGCGUGGGGAGCAAACAGG
rnacentral:rRNA from 1 species